rnacentral:rRNA from 1 species
GUCGUCAGCUCGUGUUGUGAAAUGUUGGGUUAAGUCCCGCAACGAGCGCAACCCUUAUCCUUUGUUGCCAGCGGUUCGGCCGGGAACUCAAAGGAGACUGCCAGUGAUAAACUGGAGGAAGGUGGGGAUGACGUCAAGUCAUCAUGGCCCUUACGAGUAGGGCUACACACGUGCUACAAUGGCGUAUACAAAGAGAAGCGACCUCGCGAGAGCAAGCGGACCUCAUAAAGUACGUCGUAGUCCGGAUUGGAGUCUGCAACUCGACUCCAUGAAGUCGGAAUCGCUAGUAAUCGUGGAUCAGAAUGCUACGGUGAAUACGUUCCCGGGCCUUGUACACACCGCCCGUCACACCAUGGGAGUGGGUUGCAAAAGAAGUAGGUAGCUUAACCUUCGGGAGGGCGCUUACCACUUUGUGAUUCAUGACUGGGGUGAAGUCGUAACAAGGUAACCGUAGGGGAACCUGCGGUUGGAUCACCUCCUUA